rnacentral:rRNA from 1 species
UACGAAGGGGGCUAGCGUUGCUCGGAAUCACUGGGCGUAAAGGGCGCGUAGGCGGCGUUUUACGUCGGGGGUGAAAGCCUGUGGCUCAACCACAGAAUGGCCUUCGAUACUGGGACGCUUGAGUAUGGUAGAGGAUGGUGGAACUGCGAGUGUAGAGGUGAAAUUCGUAGAUAUUCGCAAGAACACCGGUGGCGAAGGCGGGCAACUGGACCAUUACUGACGCUGAGGCGCGAAAGCGUGGGGAGCAAACAGG